CGAGGGGAUACAGCAGCAAUUCAUGUUUUGAAGUGUUCUAAAUGGUUCAAAACGUGAGGCGCUGCUAUACCCCCUCGUGGGGAAGGUAGAAGGUGGGG
ensembl:miRNA MIR424 microRNA 424